rnacentral:rRNA from 1 species
UACGUAGGGCGCAAGCGUUGUCCGGAAUUAUUGGGGCGUAAAGAGCUCGUAGGCGGCUUGUCACGUCGGGUGUGAAAGCCCGGGGCUUAACCCCGGGUCUGCAUUCGAUACGGGCAGGCUAGAGUGUGGUAGGGGAGAUCGGAAUUCCUGGUGUAGCGGUGAAAUGCGCAGAUAUCAGGAGGAACACCGGUGGCGAAGGCGGAUCUCUGGGCCAUUACUGACGCUGAGGUGCGAAAGCGUGGGGAGCAAACAGG